UGCAGUAUUCCAAGUGUGGCCUUACCAAGGCAUUGUAAAGUGGUAUUACAUUGUAAAGUGGUAUUAUUAAAUAGUUUUCAUGAUUUAAAUACUUUUAAAUUCCAAUACACAACUUAUAAUACUUGUGAUUCUUUUAGAUUACUACAACAGGCUCAUGUAGUAACAAAAAAGCCGUGCUUUUAUCCCAGGAAUUCCAUCACCAUGACCAUUGGUUUAGCCCUGCGGCUAGAAAAGAACAUAGCCAGCUUCAACUAUUACGAGAUAACCGAUCAGAAAGAGGACACAAGAAGAACAGUUCAGUAAAAACAGCCAGCAGACAGACAAGCGUCCAUUUAGGAUCCUUAUGUAUGGGUGAUAUCAAACGAAGAAGAAAAGCAGCACCAUUGCCAGGACCUGCUGGUAAGCAGAUUCA